UAAAUGCCGAACAGUGAAUGCUCCAUUCGCCAGUCGAAGAAUUGUAGUCAUUGCUUGUGCUUCGUUUACCAAUAACUUUUAUUGUCUAUUCUUCGAACGGUCGACAAUUCAUAAUUUUUCAUCUGCAACAUCAACUACAAAUUCAAAAUGAAAACAUUCUCGGUGGUGGUUCUACUAGCACUGGUCAUCGUCAUCGUCAUCGGAACGGACUCUGCAGCCGUUUCUACAGAUUAUGAUGAUUCGAAUGAUAAUUCAUUUGGUGAAAAAACGCAUGAUUUUUUCCGGUACGCCCGCAGUGCUGAAAAAUACACUAAGGUCGGCUCCAAGCAUCCACUGUAUGUGUUUUUCAAAAGUCUGUUCAAACUUCUAUCGAAAAUAUUCUCUGCCGAAAAUGCCAUACAAACUGCUCCUGAUUUAUAUCAAAACAAUACUUAAAUAUAAACACAAUGGGUGAACAUGGGCAGUAUAACAAAAUACAUAUUCACAAGGUAUAUAAUAUGAUAUUCUUUUACUAUUUAUUUACUAUUUUUUCAUUUAUACAACACAGAUUCGAUUUAAUGAUUUAAUGUCAUAUUAUAUUCCUAUGUUAAUUGCUAUAGUUAUUACAAACAAUCUUAGUGCAUUAUACUAUACUUAAAUUAGAAACAAUACAAAUAUAAUAUUCAAUAUUAGUAAUCUUAUUAUGUAUUAUAAAGUCACAGCUAUCUAAUAUUGUGUUAAAUAUUAUGUUAUUCUAUGCAAUUAUAUGUUAUUUUUUAAAUUAUUUUUUGUUUUUUUUUCAUAAUAAAUAAAAUAUAGUUUAAAUA